GGAGGGGUGGUGAGGAAGAGAUAGAGGGAGAGAGAGAGAGGAGAAAUAGACAGACAUACUGACUGACUGAGUGAUUAACAGUGAGAAGAGGUCAGGGUGGAGGGGGGAGGGGGGCGAGUGUCUUUAUCAUAUUGGUCUGUUGACAGAAAGCAUAGCUGCGUCAUGUGACUCCACUAAUCAGGUCAUAGGAGCAGCUUUGAGCCACAGACAGAUCCUGCAGCCAUGUGAGUGCUCGUAACCACGACAACGCCGCACCUGUGCGGCUGCAAGAGGGCAGACACAGGACCACAGGACAGCGAGUUACACAGAAUCCACACCUCAAACAAAUGAGAACCAGCGCAAAACUAUAACAGCUAUCUAAAAAAUACGGCGUUUGUAUGAGACCCAAGACUCUACCGAACGCGUGGAUGUGUUUUUAUGUCUGUCCGGUAAUAAAUACGGCUCCUAUGGCCGUUGACAGAACGUGUACCUUGUGGAUUUUUGUGAGAAAUAUGUCGGCAGAUUUGUAUUGGAGCCUAUGGGGCUUUUGGCAGAGGUUGUGUCACUCAAACACACCUUGCGCCAAAACUAAAGAACUCUGGGAUUCCAUGAACACAUUAAUCCAAUCAGCACAACCAUACCCUCAUUAAUCUGAAGAAAUGAAGCCUCUAGAGUGUAUACUUUGGCUGCAAGGACAGAAGUUCCAUAUUUUUUUUACCAGAUUCCUGCGAUGCCCCACACUCUAGCCGUCGAGGUCCCCCUCUAGCAGACGCAAUACACACUCAUGUAAAAGUCAGAAACGGAGCGAAGAACUAGUGAAACAUAAUCAGUGAUUAUGAAAAAAGUACAAUAGAUAUCAAGAAGCACUUUUUUUCAUAAAAUAGUUAAGACUUGUGUCAACAUUUGAAAGUUGAAAUGGUGUCUGUAGCUGAAAGAUUUGCGAAGCUGAAAAAUCUGAAAGUUGAAGAAGUUUAGGAGGAUUUGAAAGAAAACUCCAUUUGAAAACCAUGUUAAAAUAUUAAUGAUUAUUGAUUUAUAUAAAUUCAAGCAUAAGAGGUAGAAAGCUGAAAAGUCAUAGCCCUCAAGCCAGAAAGGAGCUGAACAUUUUAAUAUUUGAAGGAUUUUAAUAGCUGAAAAUGUGAAGGAGUUGAAAGGGGGCGCGGAAGAAAUAGAAGAAACAUAAUAACUAGAAAAGGCAUUUCCUGCUGAAAAUGCGUUGGAAUGCAAAAAGCUGAAAGCUGCACUGAAUAUUUAAAAAUAGCUGAAAAUACAGAAAGUUGAAGGGAAUUUGAAUACAUUUGCUGAAAAGCUGAAAUGAAUUUGAAAUUGCUGAAAAUACAGAAAUGGGAGAAGCUGAAAGGAAUUUCAAUAGAUUUGCUGAAAAAGCAGAAAUGAAAACAGCUGAAAUAAAUUUGAAAUAUUGCAAAAAAAUACAGAAAUGAAUAUUGAAAAAUUGCUGUUGAUAGAGGCAUAAGAAUAGCUGAAAUUAUUUUAAAGAACUGCUGAAAAUACAGGAAGUGGGGAAGCUGAAUUUCAAUAGAUUUUCUAAAAACAGAAGUUGCAGGAGCUUAAAUUUGUUUAAAAUUGUUUGUAGUAAUAUUAGUAGUAGUAUUAGUUAUAAUUGUGGUACUAGCAGUAUAAGCAGUAAUAGUAGGUUUAGUAUCAAUAGCAGUAGAAACAGCUGUAAUACUAUUAGCCAUAGUAGUAUUUGUAAUAACAUUAGUAGUAGUUGUAGUAUUAAUAGCAGUAGAAAUACUAGUAGUAUGGUAGUAGAAGUAUCAGUUGUAGUACUAGAAGUACGAGUAAUAUUCGUAGUGGGAGACAGAAUGUUUGUUAUUCACACUUAAAAGUUUUUAAUUAAUAGGCCUCAUCACAGACAUUACAGUAAAAAUUCCCUCCAUGGGGCUUUUAUUUUGAAAUUAUUGGAUUGGGUGGGGUGGGGGGGUGUAGAUAGAGGGAGGGAGGGUGAGAGGGUGAGGAAAGGGAGGGGGUGGUGAGGAAGAGAUAGGGGGAGAGAGAGAGAGGAGGAGAAAUGGACAGACAUACUGACUGAGUGAUUAACAGUGAGAAGAGGUCAGGGUGGAGGGGGAGGGGGGGCGAGUGUCUUUAUCAUAUUGGUCUGGUGACAGAAAGCAUAGCUGCGUCAUGUGACUCCACUAAUCAG
ensembl:lncRNA